AACCGCCACCGUCUCAGCCUGAAGGCGCCCGAUCUCGUCUGAUCUCGGAAGCUAAACAGGGUCGGGCCUGGUUAGUAUCUUGGAUGGGAGACCACCUGGGAAUCCUGGGUGCUCGAGGCUU
rnacentral:rRNA from 1 species